rnacentral:rRNA from 1 species
UGGGGAAUAUUGGACAAUGGGCGAAAGCCUGAUCCAGCCAUGCCGCGUGAGUGAUGAAGGCCCUAGGGUUGUAAAGCUCUUUUGUGCGGGAAGAUAAUGACGGUACCGCAAGAAUAAGCCCCGGCUAACUUCGUGCCAGCAGCCGCGGUAAUACGCAGGGGGCUAGCGUUGCUCGGACUCACUGGGCGUAAAGGGUGCGUAGGCGGGUUUCUAAGUCAGAGGUGAAAGCCUGGAGCUCAACUCCAGAACUGCCUUUGAUACUGGAAGUCUUGAGUUCGGGAGAGGUGAGUGGAACUGCGAGUGUAGAGGUGAAAUUCGUAGAUAUUCGCAAGAACACCAGUGGCGAAGGCGGCUCACUGGCCCGAUACUGACGCUGAGGCACGAAAGCGUGGGGAGCAAACA